AGGGGCAAACCUCCUCCUUACAGGAUGCUUUUCAUCCCAAAAAGCAGCAGAAAGGGACUCGCUUCUUGCCAGAGAAACAGGCAGAUGAGCAGCUGCAGCCGAAGGUCGUUUGGAGUCCGCCCUAGUGCGUGCCGCGUCCGAGGACAUCCCAGGCCCUGCCAGCAGCUGUUUGGAAUUCCUGUGGACCCUGGGUCGUGGGAAGCAGGCUCUGCUGGAAACAGAUGAGAAGACUGAGGCACAAGACCACACAGCGACUGCGUGGAGCAGCCCGGACUUGAACCAGCACCAUCUGAUACCAGAGCCUGAGCCCUUAUCCACUGUCCCCCUACUGUGUGCUCCAUGAAUCUGAACGACCCUCCCCUAAGGGGCUUUAUAGGGUGGUCCCCGGCCAGGACUGAAUGAGGGAAGUUGGUCCUGAGAGUCCGCAGGGCUGGACCCUCGGGGGCUCCCCAUUUCCAUGCAAAUCCCCAUCUCCACUGCCUGGUGGUCAAGAACUAAGCUCUAGGUCAGACAGGAGGCUCCAGGCUCAGCCCCUCCACUUUCCAGCGCUGUGAGCUUGGACCUUCUCUGAGCCUCUAUUUCCCCUCUAUAAAAAUGUUUGCUGCGAGGUGUGUUUUGGUUUUGUGUUCCACUAAGCAAUAAACUGUCAUGA